rnacentral:lncRNA from 1 species
AAUUCCAAUCAUUUCUUCAGAAAAGAGAUGGCCAUAAAUCAAUAAUUGAAAAAAUGUUGAUUUUAAAAUAUUGGGGUGCCAAUAAGGGACAAAUGUUUUUUUUCGCACAGGCACUCCUGGGAUGGAAUUCCAAUAUUCUGGGCUUUUAGCUAGUGGAUUUUAGUCAUUUCUAAAGACUAAAAGACUAAAAAGUUAGUUUAGUCUUUAAAAAAGACUAAAAAAAUCUUCAGAAUAAUCCAUAAAUCAAUAAUUGCAAAAUUUUGACAUUUUCUUUCUUGAAAAAAUUACUGUGGUUAUUAUUAAGUAAGAAAAAAUAUGACUUUUGUUGUAAAUUUCUUCGUCAAAAAAAGUUCCUAGACAAACACGAAAUUUGAUCCUCAACUGCCACAACAGAGGGAAGUAAGCUGUAAAAAACAAAAUUUUAGACUUAUUUUCUUAAUAAAAACAGUUUUUCUUACUAUAGCAAAAAAGGGUUUUUACCAGAAAAAAGGUCGAAGAAGUAGUCUUUAUUGUGUCACUGAAGGGCAAACAGGGGCAGUUAUAAUACUAAAACAAAUCCACAAACACAAAUAAAAAAAACACACUUCCUCACAGUAAAAACUGCAAAAAAUUUAGACGAAUACAGGCCAAAUUCUAAAUUCACCACUUUCAUAAAAGGGGAAAAAGGAAAACCAGCAAAACCCAUCAAAUAAUAAUGACCUCACCUGACCUCCCUCCCAACUAUUAAAGGUGAUAGACCCAUCCUUAAAGAUUUCUUUAAAGACACGUCAAAAGUAAUACAAAAACAGCCCAUAAAUUUAUCUGGGUACGGCCCCGUAAUUCUCAAAAUCAGUGGGAUAGAGAGAGAUACACAAUUACUUGCACAGCCUAAAGUAGGAAUCGCCAGAACGCAGAUGUUUUAUCUUUGUUUAAUAGACUGGCUAAAAAGAGGUGACAAGGCUGUGAGUGCUGGGAGUGUUUAAAAUAUUUUGUAAGAUGCUUGGAUUUUAGUCCGCGGUCAAUUUUUUGAUAUUAUUUUCUUUCUAAAAAUGGACAUUUUCGAAAGAAAAAUAAAAAAUAGUAUAAAACAUGCGGUUUUACGUAUAUUUAAAAUGAUUUCAUAGAUAAACUAUAUAAAAUCUUACCAUUUAAACAUGUAUAUCAUGCGACAAUAAAUACGACAUAGGCGCACGGACUAGUUAGUGCGGCAUCUGCGACACAUCAAAGAUUCUAAUAGAUCUCUGAAUUGGACUUUACCGCAUCUCCCCGUCCUUGUCGCACUUAUUGCACGAAGACGAGAAUUAAACGAGCAAAGACGCCUUUGGAAGUUUGACACGUCAUCGAGAUAACUUAUGAAACUACUCAUCUUUGUCGCACUCAUUGUAACAAGACUUAAUGUUUAAAGCAAAGCCACCUUGGAGCUUCAAGUAAUUCAAAUGUGACUCUCGAAGGUGACGAUUUGGACGAUUAUGAUAGCGACGAUUCUUUGAAAGAUCGGGAUUAUUCACCACGAACUUCGUUGCCAUCAUGUGGUUCAUCUGUCGCAGAGGAGUUGGAUAAUCUGCCUGCAACACCAGCUAAUCUAAACCCAAGUAUUUCGAUGUCAGAGAGUACUCAAAAAAGAAAGGUAAAACAAAAAACUCUUAUUAAACAAAGUGGGCGUAAAAGGAUGCGCCACAAAGAAAAUUGGCAAUCAUCAAUCCGGAAAGAGCGGUAUGCUUGUGGCCAAGCCUAUACCAGUAAGAAAGGCAAAGAAGUAUUGAAUGUAUGAAAUGUGUUAAAAGUAUGAAAUGUUUUGAAAAGAUUUCAAAAGAUGAGAGGCAAAAUAUUUUUGAAACUUACUGGAGCAAGGAAAAGUCCGCGUGGAUACUAAACGACAAUACAUUCGUUCAUGCAUUGAAGUCAAAAAUACUCAACGUAAUAGAAGCAGGGAUGGCGUCCGAACAAAGAAUAAUACACUUGUCUAUAGUUUUGUUAUUAGAAAUAAUGUGACCAUCAAAGUUUGCAAGCUAAUGUUUUUGAACACAUUAGCAAUAUCUAAUACAGUAGAUGUUAAUACUAAAAAGUCAGGAGGGAGGUAUGGUGGAAGAAGAUAAACGGGGUAAACAUAUUCCGGGAAAUAAAACACCUGAAAAUAUACGCCUGCAUGUUAAACAACACAUCGAGGGCAUACCACCCUAUGAGAGUAAUUACAAAUGCAAAGAAAUAUCUGGGUUCCGAUCUUACACUGGAAAAAUUAUACCAGCUUUAUCUUAAGUGGUGUACAGAACAUGACAUUUCAAAGGAAUUGGUUGCCAAAAAAUGGUUUUAUUCAAAGGUUUUUAACACAGAAUAUAAUUUAUCUUUUAAGUCACCAGAAAAUGACACAUGUGAUGAUUGUGAUACCUUAAUUGCAAAAAUUACAUCAAGCAAAUCGGAAACUGACAAAAAUCAAUUGCAGAUUCAACAUGACGCUCACAUACAGGAAUCGAAAAUUCGGUACCAUCUAAAGCAUGAUGACAUAGAAAGGUCUAAAACUGAAAACCAUGUAAGAAUUCUGACAGUAGAUUUACAAAAAUGUUUACCCACUCCUCUUCUUAAUUGUGGCCUUAGCUUUUACAAAAGGAAAUUAUGGACACUGAAUUUCACAAUCUACGACGCAACUACAGGUCUGGCACAUAAUAUGAUGUGAGAUGAAACUAAGGCUGCUCGAGGUGGUAACGAGGUGGGAUCAGCUUUAUUUAAAUGGGCGACACAAAAUAUCGAAGAUACCAAAGAACUGACUAUAUGGUCUAUAUUUGCUAUGGGCAAAAUAAAAACUUAUCAGUAGUAAUGGCACUUUUUUGGAUCAUUGGAACAAGUUGAGGUAAUUAAUCAUAAAUUUUUAUUGGAAGGCCACACCCAUAUGGAGGCAGACACAGUGCAUGCUGUUAUUGAAAGGAAGAGAAAGAAUUUAUUACAUCUAGAAAUUAUGACUCCGUGGGACUGGCAGCAAUUCAUUAGGCAAUGCUCCCCAAAAUUCAUUGUAGAAAAUAUGGAAGUGCAAGAUUUUUUGACUUGAAAAAACUUUACGGGACUCUCAAAAACUCACCAUUUAUCGCCAGAAAAAUCGACACAGACAAACAGGCUGUCGUAAUCUCAAAUGCAGUACAACUUCAAGUGAGAAAGGGUGAGAUUGGAAUUUUGUAUUUUAAGACAAAGUUUGAGGAUGAUUUCCGAAAAGUAAAUCUUAAAAGAAAUGCAAGAUCAUUGGACGUAAAUCUACCAGAAAAACUUCAACCUGUUACUGAGAGAGGAAAAGAUAUCAAUGAACAGAAGUACAAGGACCUUUUAUCAUUGCUCCCAUUUACCAACUCUUAUUGUCAUGAUUUCUAUAAGAAUCUUAGGCAUAACAAACUCGACAAUAACGAUUACCCUAGUACUGACGAAGACUAACUGUUGUCCGCAUACUGAUAAUGUAAUAUUAACUAAUAAAAAAUAAAGAUUUUGUUUUA